rnacentral:rRNA from 1 species
UACGUGAGGGUGCAAGCGUUAAUCGGAAUUACUAGGGCGUAACGUGCGCUAGGCGGUUUUGUAAGUCCUGUCGUGAAAAGCCCCGGGCUCAACCUGGGAAUUGACGAUGGAGACUGGCAAGGCUUGAAUCUGGCAGAGGGGGGUAGAAAUUCCACGUGUAGCAGUGAAAUGCGUAGAGAUGCGGAGGAACACCGGAUGGCGAAGGCAGCCCCCUGGGCUAACACUGACGCUGGAGGCACGAAAGCCGUGGGGAGCAAACAGG